AACGAACGCUGGCGGCAUGCCUAACACAUGCAAGUCGAACGAUGCCUUCGGGCAUAGUGGCGCACGGGUGCGUAACGCGUGGGAAUCUGCCUUUCGGUUCGGAAUAACUCAGGGAAACUUGAGCUAAUACCGGAUAACGUCGCAAGACCAAAGAUUUAUCACCGAAAGAUGAGCCCGCGUAGGAUUAGCUAGUUGGUGAGGUAAAGGCUCACCAAGGCGACGAUCCUUAGCUGGUCUGAGAGGAUGAUCAGCCACACUGGGACUGAGACACGGCCCAGACUCCUACGGGAGGCAGCAGUGGGGAAUAUUGGACAAUGGGCGAAAGCCUGAUCCAGCAAUGCCGCGUGAGUGAUGAAGGCCCUAGGGUUGUAAAGCUCUUUUACCCGGGAAGAUAAUGACGGUACCGGGAGAAUAAGCCCCGGCUAACUCCGUG
rnacentral:rRNA from 1 species